UGGGGAAUAUUGCACAAUGGGCGGAAGCCUGAUGCAGCGACGCCGCGUGGGGGAUGAAGGCCUUCGGGUUGUAAACUCCUUUCGACAGGGACGAAGCUUUUGUGACGGUACCUGUAUAAGAAGCACCGGCUAACUACGUGCCAGCAGCCGCGGUAAUACGUAGGGUGCGAGCGUUGUCCGGAAUUACUGGGCGUAAAGAGCUCGUAGGUGGUUUGUCGCGUCGUCUGUGAAAUUCCGGGGCUUAACUCCGGGCGUGCAGGCGAUACGGGCUGACUUGAGUGCUGUAGGGGAGACUGGAAUUCCGGGUGUAGCGGUGAAAUGCGCAGAUAUCAGGAGGAACACCGAUGGCGAAGGCAGGUCUCUGGGCAGUAACUGACGCUGAGGAGCGAAAGCAUGGGUAGCGAACAGG
rnacentral:rRNA from 1 species